rnacentral:rRNA from 1 species
CACACAGUAAACGAUGAAUACUCGCUGUUUGCGAUAUACAGUAAGCGGCCAAGCGAAAGCGUUAAGUAUUCCACCUGGGGAGUACGCCGGCAACGGUGAAACUCAAAGGAAUUGACGGGGGCCCGCACAAGCGGAGGAACAUGUGGUUUAAUUCGAUGAUACGCGAGGAACCUUACCCGGGCUUAAAUUACACCUGAAUAAUCUGGAAACAGAUUAGCCGCAAGGCAGGUGUGAAGGUGC